rnacentral:rRNA from 1 species
GGCGGCGCGCCUAACACAUGCAGGUCGAACGGAGUCAAGAGGAGCUUGCUUUUCUUGACUUAGUGGCGAACGGGUGAGUAACGCGUGAGUAACCUGCCCUGGAGUGGGGGACAACAGUUGGAAACGACUGCUAAUACCGCAUAAGCCCACGAUCCGGCAUCGGAUUGAGGGAAAAGGAUUUAUUCGCUUCAGGAUGGACUCGCGUCCAAUUAGCUAGUUGGUGAGGUAACGGCCCACCAAGGCGACGAUUGGUAGCCGGACUGAGAGGUUGAACGGCCACAUUGGGACUGAGACACGGCCCAGACUCCUACGGGAGGCAGCAGUGGGGGAUAUUGCACAAUGGGGGAAACCCUGAUGCAGCGACGCCGCGUGGAGGAAGAAGGUUUUCGGAUUGUAAACUCCUGUCGUUAGGGACGAUAAUGACGGUACCUAACAAGAAAGCACCGGCUAACUACGUGCCAGCAGCCGCGGUAAAACGUAGGGUGCAAGCGUUGUCCGGAAUUACUGGGUGUAAAGGGAGCGCAGGCGGACCGGCAAGUUGGAAGUGAAAACUAUGGGCUCAACCCAUAAAUUGCUUUCAAAACUGCUGGCCUUGAGUAGUGCAGAGGUAGGUGGAAUUCCCGGUGUAGCGGUGGAAUGCGUAGAUAUCGGGAGGAACACCAGUGGCGAAGGCGACCUACUGGGCACCAACUGACGCUGAGGCUCGAAAGCAUGGGUAGCAAACAGGAUUAGAUACCCUGGUAGUCCAUGCCGUAAACCGAUGAUUACUAGGUGUUGGAGGAUUGACCCCUUCAGUGCCGCAGUUAACACAAUAAGUAAUCCACCUGGGGAGUACGACCGCAAGGUUGAAACUCAAAGGAAUUGACGGGGGCCUGCACAAGCAGUGGAGUAUGUGGUUUAAUUCGAAGCAGCGCGAAGAACCUUACCAGGUCUUGACAUCCGAUGCAUAGCUUAGAGAUAAGUGAAGUCCUUCGGGACAUCGAGACAGGUGGUGCAUGGUUGUCGUCAGCUCGUGUCGUGAGAUGUUGGGUUAAGUCCCGCAACGAGCGCAACCCUUAUUGCCAGUUACUACGCAAGAGGACUCUGGCGAGACUGCCGUUGACAAAACGGAGGAAGGUGGGGAUGACGUCAAAUCAUCAUGCCCUUUAUGACCUGGGCUACACACGUACUACAAUGGCGUUUAACAAAGAGAAGCAAGACCGCGAGGUGGAGCAAAACUCAAAAACAACGUCUCAGUUCAGAUUGCAGGCUGCAACUCGCCUGCAUGAAGUCGGAAUUGCUAGUAAUCGCGGAUCAGCAUGCCGCGGUGAAUACGUUCCCGGGCCUUGCACA